rnacentral:rRNA from 1 species
GAUGAACGCUGGCGGCGUGCCUAAUACAUGCAAGUCGAGCGAACAGACGAGGAGCUUGCUCCUCUGACGUUAGCGGCGGACGGGUGAGUAACACGUGGAUAACCUACCUAUAAGACUGGGAUAACUUCGGGAAACCUGAGCUAAUACCGGAUAAUAUAUUGAACCGCAUGGUUCAAUAGUGAAAGCCGUUUUUGCUGUCACUUAUAGAUGGAUCCUCGCCGCAUUAGCUAGUUGGUAAGGUAACGGCUUACCAAGGCGACGAUGCGUAGCCGACCUGAGAGGGUGAUCGGCCACACUGGAACUGAGACACGGUCCAGACUCCUACGGGAGGCAGCAGUAGGGAAUCUUCCGCAAUGGGCGAAAGCUUGACGGAGCAACGCCGCGUGAGUGAUGAAGGUCUUCGGAUCGUAAAACUCUGUUAUUAGGGAAGAACAAAUGUGUAAGUAACUAUGCACGUCUUGACGGUACCUAAUCAGAAAGCCACGGCUAACUACGUG